rnacentral:rRNA from 1 species
AUUGAACGCUGGCGGCAUGCUUUACACAUGCAAGUCGAACGGUAACAGGCCGCAAGGUGCUGACGAGUGGCGAACGGGUGAGUAAUGCAUCGGAACGUGCCCAGUCGUGGGGGAUGACGCAGCGAAAGCUGCGCUAAUACCGCAUACGAUCUAUGGAUGAAAGCGGGGGACCGUAAGGCCUCGCGCGAUUGGAGCGGCCGAUGUCAGAUUAGGUAGUUGGUGGGGUAAAGGCUCACCAAGCCGACGAUCUGUAGCUGGUCUGAGAGGACGACCAGCCACACUGGGACUGAGACACGGCCCAGACUCCUACGGGAGGCAGCAGUGGGGAAUUUUGGACAAUGGGCGCAAGCCUGAUCCAGCAAUGCCGCGUGCAGGAAGAAGGCCUUCGGGUUGUAAACUGCUUUUGUACGGAACGAAAAGGCUCUGGUUAAUACCUGGGGCUCAUGACGGUACCGUAAGAAUAAGCACCGGCUAACUACGUGCCAGCCGCCGCAGUAAUAC